rnacentral:rRNA from 1 species
GGAAUAUUGGACAAUGGGGGCAACCCUGAUCCAGCAAUGCCGCGUGUGUGAAGAAGGUCUUCGGAUUGUAAAGCACUUUCGACGGGGACGAUGAUGACGGUACCCGUAGAAGAAGCCCCGGCUAACUUCGUGCCAGCAGCCGCGGUAAUACGAAGGGGGCUAGCGUUGCUCGGAAUGACUGGGCGUAAAGGGCGUGUAGGCGGUUUACACAGUCAGAUGUGAAAUCCCCGGGCUUAACCUGGGAGCUGCAUUUGAUACGUGUAGACUAGAGUGUGAGAGAGGGUUGUGGAAUUCCCAGUGUAGAGGUGAAAUUCGUAGAUAUUGGGAAGAACACCGGUGGCGAAGGCGGCAACCUGGCUCAUGACUGACGCUGAGGCGCGAAAGCGUGGGGAGCAAACAGGAUUAGAUACCCUGGUAGUCCACGCUGUAAACGAUGUGUGCUAGAUGUUGGGU